UGUGUGUGUGUGUGUGUCUAGAAGUGUGUGUGUUGGAGAGUAAAAGAGAUAAAAAGAGAGAGGGAGAGAGGCGAGCAGCGUUUCUUCUCCCCCUUCUAGCUUCCCCAUUUCCCUGCUCCCUGUCACUCCGUCCUUCCUCCCUUCCCGGACCACCCUGCCUCGAGCUGGAUAAGACCCCGGACCUCCCCAGGACCCUCCUCCCCUCACCCCUUUGACUCUCCUCACUUCUCCGACCCGCCUUGUCAACAGAGCAGGAUUCACAGGAUUACAAGACUGUUUAAA
ensembl:lncRNA